UGGGGCAGGGAGGGGCCGAGAACGCUGGGCGGAGCCCCGCCUCCUCUCGCGAUACUGUAGACUGACGCUCCCGGGUCGCCUCUUUCGAAAUUCUGGUGGAGGGGGUGGGGUGCUCCCCAGGGUACCUAGAGCGUGUUACCGACCCUUUCCCCCGAGUCUAGCUACCCGAAUAAAUCCGAAGUAGGGCUGCCAGGAGUGAGUAGGCCCAAACCUCUGUCCCUGGCCGCAGGGGCCUGGGAACGGCUCUCCCGAGGGCCGAAAGGAGCCGAGCCGAGCUGACUCAGGGCCGACCCAAGGGUCGAGGCCCUGGGAGGACUUCGGUACUUGACGCCGCUUUCCCUGACACCCUGAUUGACCAGGGGCCUGCCGCAUCACUGCUUCCCUGAUUGAGACUGCGUCAAGAUCCCACUGAGGGAAACUAUUAAAGUGCUGAUAGGUUAGUGUUCUAGUUGCUACACUAGAGGCAACUAGGAGACUAUCUGGAAAGUGGCCUGUGUGCAGCCUGGCCAGAGAAACUUCUUGGGCCCGGUUAAUAUUAACAGGGACACAGGACACGGAUUCCCUUGGGCAAAAGUACUGGUACCGGCCAAAGGCCCUUCCCCCGACCCUCUUCUGAGAAGCAGAUCCGCUGUAAAGAGGAUUCAUCUACCCUCUGUGUGCCACCACGUACUCAUUUUCUACCUUGAAGGCUUUGGAGGCCUGUUGUAAAACCAAAAUAGUUGUUGGGAAGUAUUUUGCCUAUUAAAGUCUUGACGAUUUUAAGGAUAAAUCCAUUUGCUGCUCUUAAAACUAAUACUGAUGACAGAUCUAUAUUUCCUGGUAGAGUAUGCUAGAGCAGUGAUACUGAUCUUUAAAAAGUAUUUUGGUCAUCACCUGAAAUCUUAGAGACUCACAACAAAAAACCCCACAGUGCAUCUUUAGCCAUGUUGACUUAUGACAUUGUGUUGUCACUGUUAGGGUAGGUGACAUAAUAAACGGAAAGAAUCAUU